UCUCUCCUAAAAACCCCUAAAUCUUCUCCUUCUCCUGCACUCCUCUUCUCUCUCACUCUCAAUUUUGAUUUCAAAGUUCUUUAUGUUUUCUCUCCCAAAUUCCGGCAACGGCUGCAAUGUUUUCUGGUAACAAUAUCAGACAGAUCAGGUGGAACCGGUAUCCAUGGUCCUCAUGUUUGAUGACCACGCGUUGAACAAAUCCAGUGAAAAGAUUAGAUUCGAUAGUUAGAAUGAUGGCGGCGGUUAGGGUUUCUUCAAGCUAUUAAUAACGUUUGUUGUUGUUGUAAUUCGAAAAGAUUAUAUAGAUUUGAGGUCACAAUUUCAUCGAAAAACUAAUGUUUUGUUGUAAUUCUUCUCUACUUGUAGACAUCCAACACGGAUUUUACAUCAAGAUCUGAAAACUUGGACAAAAUGCCCUAGCCGCCCCUUCAGCUAUGACGGAUAGGGUUCCGGUCAUUAGUCAUUCGUUUUUUGCUUCAGAAUCCAUGGUGUUUAGGCAGUUAGGCAAAGACACUUAUGGUUGUUCACAAAAGGCCAGAGUUGGAUUAUGUUGGAGAAACAGUUAGUACACUUGAGUUUGUCGAAAGGGUUGCCAUUGUAGAAUUUGGUGCUGCACGAGGCAUUGAGCGAGUUGUUUGUAACGUUUUCAUUAUUCACAUUGCUAUUGUCAUGGACCAAAGGGGCAAUUAUGAGCAGACUGAGCCUGCUACAUAUAACAAUGCACCCCUUCUUGGAGUAUUGGCUAGGUUCAAUGGUGGUCAUUUUGCUAUCAUCUCCUUCCAGUUAAAGUUCCUCUUCAUAAACCUAUCGAUGUUCACCCAAAGCAUGCAUCUCCAUACGCAGGGAACAUAGAGUAUUGUGUGAGUGAAGAAAGUUUAAUGGAUCGUUUAAAUACCAAUACAAGUGCAGCAUGCCAACUGAUUCCCCAAAACUGCAGGUUUGUAUCUUUUAUCAGUCGUCUUGCUUUCUUUUCGCCUUUUAAAUUUAUAUUUCCAUAACUUGUCCAAAACCAUUCAUUCUUGCAUGACAACCUAUUAGUUUUUUUUAAUUUAAUGAUUAUUAUUCACAGACGCAUUAAUUUUGACGGAGUUACUUGUAAAUAGGUAGGUUAGGUUGAUUUGGGUUUAUUUUAUAUCAAACGGGUCAAGUAAAAACAGUUAGCUAAGCAAAGGUUUGGGUCGAACGGAGGAAUUGGGAUUAUAUUUUCAUAUGCUUUUACUAUGUCAUUUCAUUAGUAAAUAUUUUUCUCAGGAUUUGAUCAUUAGAGGUGACAGAAGCAUUCCCUUAUACAGAAUUGAUGAUGUUCACAAUGUGGCCAACAUUUCUGGCCGGUUUGAUCUAAAAAGAGGCAUUGAGGGCCGAUUGGGUAAAGCUUACUUGCAGCGGAUUAAAAAAAAUGGAUUCAUUGAUGUUGCCAAUAGAAAGGGUUAUUGACUUUCAGGUGAUAAAAAAUGACGAACAACGGUGAAGAAUUCUACAAUACAUUCUACAACGCGUUCACUUCCGAAUCGUCAGAUAGAAGAUCUGAGUUGAAAGAAUAUUCAAAAGAGAUUUCGGAUAAUCUGAAGUUCGAAAACAUGUACGGAAGCCAACAAAAGCCACCAAAGUUGAUGAAAGUUGAAGAUUAUAAUUGGUGGAAAAACAGAUUUGAAGGAUGGGUGAAAGUUUUCGCUCCUGAAAGCUGGUUAAAGUUAGUAACUGAAUAUCAAGCACCAGAGAAAGCAGGAGGAGAGUUAAUCGAGGAGAAAGAUUUUUCAGAAAAAGAUGUAAAGAAUGUUGUUGCUGAAUACAGAAUGAUAACGUUGAUCAAACAGUCAGUGAGAGAGGAUAUUAUCUCAUUGCUUGAACAAGAAAAAACUUCAAAGAAAUUGUGGGAAGCAUUGGAGAGAAAGUGUAUUAGGAGUAAUGAGAUUGUCAAAAACAAGAAGAAGUUGUUGCGUAGAGAGUUUGAUUUAUUCAGCUGUAUGAAAAAUGAAUCUGUUUGUAAAAUGCUAGAGAGAUUCGGACAUCUGAAAAUGGAAUUGACCAGACAUGGAAUCAAUUAUGAUGAAGAUUUGAUGGUGGAUAAAUUGUUUGAUUCAUUGCCAAAUGAUCAAGAAUGGCAAUAUUUCGCUCUUAUGCUGAAAAAUACAAUCAAGCCAGAUGAUUUAAAGAUUGAUUUGCUGAUUGAAAGGCUUGAAAGUCAUGAAUUGGAGUUAAAGAGAUCUAAAGUCAACAGUCCAGCUUAUCAGCAGAAUG